CACAAUUGAAAAAGACAUUAAUUGCUCAUUCUAACCCAACGGCCACAGUGGUUAUAGUCCUUUAUAGGAGGGAAAGAACCCCAACAACCCUAGAAUACAUAGUGUUCCAUUCAAGAGACGCUCAUCUAAUGUCUAACGUCUAACGUCUAACGUCUAACAUCGUUCACCACUGGGAGCUGUGGAUAUAGUGCCGAGAAAAUACAAUCACAUCUUGAAAGUUGGAAAUAAUAGAAAUUGAAAGCAUGAUCCCAAAUCUUUAUUUCAAAGCACCCAUCAGUGAGAGAAAGAAAGUAAAUUGGAAUAUGAAGACCUCUUUGAUCUUCCUUUGGAGGUAAAAUUAUAGGAAUCAAAAGAUUCAGAAGUGUCAAGCUGAAACUUGUCAAGAAAGGCUUCAGGAGAAAUAAAUGUUUCUUCUGUUUCAAGACAUACGUGAAGAAAAAUCAUAAAGGAAACCUGCGAAUGAAACCAGUGCUCCUACCACCGUGCUACGGGGUUUCUUUUUCAACUCUUCUUAAAUUCUUUGUGAUCAACAUAAAAAGUAAGAAGCUGAUGACUUCGUUGGCACUGGUGUCCGGCUGCAGACGGAGGAAGCAAUUACGUUGAGAAACAGGAUGACGCCACUGAGUGCUAAAACUCACUCUGGAGAGCUAUCAGAUGAUGGAAGUCUUUGAAAACUAGUUGUUCUUAAAAAAAUCAAAAUACGCAGCUGUGCCGCUUACAGCACGACAUCGUUCUUCUACAACACGGGAAAAAGAGAAACUGGUUCAAGUCAUACGACAGGCUGUCCUGUGGGAGAGCUGGAGGAGGAAUCGGACUCAUUGGCAGUCACAAAGGAGGGCUACCCAUACCCGGGUCCCAGGACAUUGGAGGCAGAAAUCCAGAGUUAUGCUGCAAAUUGUGCUUCUGGGCGUUCUUAAGGCAGAUCCUCUGUUUCUGACCAGACUUGUUUUAGUUUCCUAUAUGACCAGCUGCUCAAGUGUACUGCCAUUAUCCGUCAACUCCACAUGUCCAAACUAACAAAAGUGAAUUGCUUUUAGUGUUGCUUCCAAACUGGUAGCUGGCUGACAUCCACCUGCUCUGUGUUGGUGAUUUUGUAUGCUAAUAUCCCAUAGGUAAAUGCCAUGAAACUGGUUAAAAAGCAUCUUUGUAGUUUUUUCUCCCCAUCCUUUAUGGCUUAAGGGAAGACUGGAAAAUUUAAACUUCCAGUAUGGUCAGUGCAGAGACAAAUCCAAACACUGCUGUUGCUAGUCAGAAACAGGCCUUGUAAAAAGCAUAGUUUCACAUCUUCUGAAUGUGGAUGAAUAAUGAAAGUUCUCUUUUUCAUUAUCAUAUGUCUAUAUGAUAUGGACAUCACUUGCAGCCUUCCCUAAACCCAUAAAUAACCCUUUUGACCCUAGAAGAGACUUGGAAUAUAGCUUCUCUCUACGUCAGCAUUCCUCUCUUCUGUCAUCAUUGUUGAACUAGAGAGCAAAGAUGGUGAUAUAUCACAAUACAUAGUGAUAGAGAGGAUGAGGAAUAUGAAAUCCUAAGAUAAUGCAAUGGUAACUUCAAAUAUAUUUUGUGGAUGUAUAUUUCACCUAAGCAUUUGAAGUAUGUCCUGUGAUUUUACAUUCCUUACUAACAAAGUUAUUAAAUUCAAAUAUCCUAUAUAUACCUCUUUCAAGCAUUUAUGAUUACAUCAUCAUUUCAACAAGACCAACAACUAUUGCUUAUUCUUCUUUGAAUGCACUCUGCCUUUUUGCCUUAGUCGCAGUGCAUUUAUAAACAAGUUUAGCCAUGGUUCUCAAUCCAAAGAGAUAUUAGACAGGUAACUGAGAAAAGAUAAAGAAUAGAAAUGUAUUAUUACCCGACAGUCUUUUGUUGAUGACAUGACAUCUCCAUCUUGACUCCCACUUUUAUUCCUUAAUCUUUUGUGAUACCAAAAGUCAUUACAAUUAUGGAAGCAGAUCCUAGAAUUUCUAUGCUCUUCAAUGUUAACUGCAUUGCCCCUGAUUUGAGGAGCAAUUGUAGGUCUCUUUGGAAAUGACUAAUAAAUAAGUAGUUACAAGAUAUUUUGUGUAACAGAAUUCCAAAUUUAAUAAAAGUAUGAACCUAAACUAAAAAACAUGAUGGUGGAGUUAAUGAGAUUGGAAUCGUGUGCCAUCAGAGCACCAGUCCCCCUCAAACCUGUCUUGGUAGGUCUAAUGCCAGAGCUGCAGACGACGUAGAGCAAGCACUGUCAAUAGAAGGGCAGGGUCAGGUCUGGGGGAGGCUAAGCUCCCAGCUCUCGGAGACUUGAGUUUUCUCACUUGCAGAGUAGUCUAUUAAAACACAUAUCAUUAGUGUAAAAACAACAUGCAUCUUCUUUUGAUUUAGUGACAAAUUUCUAUAAUUGUUCCUUUUACUUUGGCAAACCCACAAAGAGGGAAAUUUGACUGAAAUAGCUGGGAGAAGUGGAAAGACCAGGAAUUAAUUCCUUCAUGAGUGAUCAGAUGUGGGACAGAAAAAUCUGUCUAUGAGCCACUGAUACAUGAGAAUGGAUUCUCCAAUGGUUUUGAAGUAUAAACACAGAAGCAACUUCAUCAAUGUUUUCCUGGUACUUUAGUGCAUUGGCCUGAGUAGUUAUGAGGGCAAAUGUUGAGCACACAUUGGCUCAAAGGGGAAAAUGAGUAUUUUAAUCAAACACAUAUAAAUCUCCCACUGGUCUCUACGGAGGUAUAUUUUGCCAUAGCUCCACAAGUAGUUAGGGGUGAAUCUAUCUGCUAGACGCUGUUCAGUGUGCUCAGGGAAAAUGUCUCUCCUCAUGGAAUUUACACUCUAGUGACUGAGACAGAUAAAAUCCAAUAGUCAAAGAGACAUACAUAUGCUGUCCAUUGUGUUGAGUUCCAGGAAAAAAGUAAACACAGCCAAGGCAGCAAGGGUAAGAGGAGAUGCUAUUUAGAUAGGGAAGGGAGGAAAAGUCUCUUUCUGGAGCUGACUUUAAGCGGAGACCUGAAUGGGAGAGUGGGCCAUGUGUAUAUCUCGGGGAAAAGAGGGAAAUUUGACUGAAAUAGCUGGGAGAAGUGGAAAGACCAGGAAUUAAUUCCUUCAUGAGUGAUCAGAUGUGGGACAGAAAAUCUGUCUAUGAGCCACUGAUACAUGAGAAUGGAUUUUCCAAUGGUUUUGAAGUAUAAACACAGAAGCAACUUCAUCAAUGUUUUGGGAAAAGAUCUUGCACUUCAUGCAAGUGGAGCGGUGAGUUCAAAAGCUCUCAGGCGGGAGUGUGGUUGGUGACUGGGAACAAGUGUGAGGAGAGCAUGGUCAGCAGGUGCUGAAGUGACGAAACAUCACUUUAUUAGUGUGACAGGGUCUAGAUGGUUAUAGGGUCUUAGGGGUCAGAGUGAGAACGUCGGUCAAAAUGGGAUGGGAAACCAGCUGAUAGUCCAUGGGGGGUUUUAAACAGGGGUGACAAGAUCUAUGGGAUCACUGUCACUGCUGGGUGGACAAUAGGCUGUAGAGAAGAAAGAGUGAAGCAAAGAACCAGUUAUGAGGAAAUUGUAAUAGUCCAAGCAAGAGGCUGUCAUGCUUGGGCAACCUCCCUCAAUUACCGGCCUUAAUGACAGCAGGUUUUGACAAUCCUCCGCAGAGAGGUGAGCACAUUACAGAAAGUUUUCACAUGCAGUCUUGGAAGCAUUUGGGGAUCUGGGUGUCAGUACAGACUGGUUCUACCACCAAACAUUAAUGUCCUCUUGGACAGAAAAUUUAAACUUCCUGUAAUGCAACUUCCCAUUUUAACUUUCAGGGUUUGAAAUAAAUUAUCACAACCACCUGCACCUCUAACUGUCCAUGUUUCUCUGCGGACAAAUAUAAAGGAAGUAGCACAUGGAGAAUGUGUGAGCAUCAGGAAUCUAAUACAGCAUUGGAGUGUCUUACGUCAACGAAUUCGAAAGGAAACAUUAAUAAACCAUUAUUGCAUUGUAGAGUAAGAAGGUUAGAAGACUUUUUUGUUAGCUUUAUUUUUUUGCAAUGGAUAACAAAUGUGCAAAACCGAC
ensembl:lncRNA